rnacentral:rRNA from 1 species
ACGGGUGAGUAAUGUCUGGGAAACUGCCUGAUGGAGGGGGAUAACUACUGGAAACGGUAGCUAAUACCGCAUAACGUCCCAAGACCAAAAAGGGGGACCUUCGGGCCUCUUGCCAUCAGAUGUGCCCACAUGGGAUUAGCUAGAAGGUGGGGUAAUGGCUCACCUAGGCGACGAUCCCUAGCUGGUCUGAGAGGAUGACCAGCCACACUGGAACUGAGACACGGUCCAGACUCCUACGGGAGGCAGCAGUGGGGAAUAUUGCACAAUGGGCGCAAGCCUGAUGCAGCCAUGCCGCGUGUGUGAAGAAGGCCUUCGGGUUGUAAAGCACUUUCAACGAGGAGGAAGGUGGUGAGCUUAAUACGUUCAUCAUUUGACGUUACUCGCAGCGAAGCACCGGCUAACUCCGUGCCAGCAGCCGCGGUAAUACUGAGGGUGCAAGCGUUAAUCGGAAUUACUGGGCGUAAAGCGCACGCAGGCGGUUUGUUAAGUCAGAUGUGAAAUCCCCGGGCUCAACCUGGGAACUGCAUUUGAAACUGGCUAGCUAUAGUCUCGUACAGGGGGGUAGAAUUCACUGUGUAGC